GUCUCAAAGAGCUGGAGAUGUAGCUCAGUGUUAAAGUGCCUCGGGUUCAGUCACCAGUACCAUAAACAAACCAAAUAUCCUGACAGAAAAGUCUCCAGCUAUAAUGCACCAAUAAAAAAAAAAAAAAGUGGGGGAAAAAAAUGUCCAGUCCCGAUGGUCUCACUGCAGAGUCCUCUGGAGAGUGCUUCCUUUGUGCAGAUGCGUUCUACAUGCCAAAUGAUGAAAGAGUUAAUACCAAAUGAGCCGGUAUCAUGGCGCACGCCUGUGAUCCUGGCUACUUGGGAGGCUGAGGCAGGAGGAUGGCAAGUUCAAGGCAAGCCUCAGCAACUUAAUGAGGCCCUGUCUCAAAAAGGGCUGGGGUGUGGUUCAGUGACGGAGCGCCCUUGGGUUCAAUCUCCAGGGUUAUAAAGACACAAAAAACAGCAUGAAAAGGAAGUCACAAGCUGGCAGAAAAUAUUUGCAAACCUGAUACCUGCAAGCAACUUGUGUCUAGGAUCUGUCAACUGCCUUUUCAACCAUUGUUUGCUGGUCUACUUUCAUGACACUGAGAAUAAAAACAGUUUGGGGGUUUGGGCUGUGGCUCAGGGGUACAGCACUUGCCUGGCAUGUGUGAAGCCCUGGGUUCAUUCCCCAGCACCAAAAAACAACAAAAAACAAAACAAGAACAAAAAAGCCUUAUCAAACCAGUAUUACCUCUUCUACAAGUGUUCUGUUCUUGUCUCUGUCUUGCUGUCUGUGACAGGCUGGGAUGUCCUGUGGAGAUCGAGAACUGUGGAGGUGGAGGGCCUUGUCCCUCCAGAGAUCUGGGAGAAGGCCUGUGCUCCUUGUUGUUGCACAGAGUGUUGGCUAUGUGCUUUUUGUUUUUUUGGGGGGUUGUUUGUUUGUUUUUGCAGCUCUGUUGACCGAACCCAGGGCCUCUCGCAAACCAGCCAAGUGCUUUAACCCUGAGCUACAGCCCCAGCCUUUUAAAAUUUUUUAUUUUGAUGUAGGGUCUGGCUAAAUUGCCCAGGCUGGCCUCGGAUUUGUGAUCUUCCUGCCUCAGCCUCCUGAGUCCUCGAGAUUAUAGGUGUGCUCCCUUAUACCUGGCUACUAUAUCUACCUUCUCAUUGGAGUGUUUGGAACAUACGCUGUAAUCAUCCUUAUGAUUGAGUUUAAGUAUAGCAUGUUGCUAUUUGUUUUUCUGUUCUUUGUUACUGCUUGUCCCCUUUGCUUGUUUUCUUUUACAUUAAUUUGGUAAUUUAAAAAAGUUCCACAUUUUGCUGGGCACAGUGGUGCAUGCAUGUAGUCCAAGCUACUCAGAAGGUAAAGCAGAAGGAUCCCAAAUUCAAGGCCAGCCUCAGU
rnacentral:tRNA from 1 species